AUUAAUACGAGGAUUAGAUUCGCUAUUUCAAUUCGUACAUCUAACGUCUCUUAUACUGGUCUGCUGAUACGUUGAAGAAACCAGAGUACUCGGGAGAAAUACGUAAGAAUCCGGGAUUUCUAUACAGUGUAGGGCGUUGCUCCGUAAUAGACGCGUAGCGAAUUCAAACACGAAUUUACCAAACGAGAAACUUUGCCUUCGCUACGAUUCCAUUAGUGCUAUCUGGCAGUAGUUUCAUCGCUACGUCGCUUUGACAUCGCGCGUUUUGAUUCGCCGAUAGAUCGUGGACAUUGGUUUAUCGUCAACGUCAUAACCCUUUAGACGCGAAGGAAAGCAAUUAAAGCGACUACCAUACAUCGAGGGACGUAGGCCGGAACCGCGGCCAUGAAUUUACGAAGCAUGUUGCACUUACGGUUUGCACGCUCGUUUCACGUCAUCCGCAUUCUCUGACGCUUCUAUUUUUACCUUAUUAUUAUUUUCUCUUUUCUCUCACGUUUCGUUUAGCAAGGAACAAUAGCGACAGCACGAUGCGUCAAAGAUGCAACAAGAAUUUCGAUAAGGGCGGCUAAGGAAACGAACGGCGAGUAUCUACAGCAAGGGCUGAACUUUCGAACGAUCUUAUCGAUUUCCAGUGGGAACACGGUCACGCACAGAUGCGCAAAAUGAAUCAAAAAGAAAGGGACGAAACGAUAAUGCACCGUCGUCCACGAUACUGCACCAUUGAUUUAGUAGUGGUUAUCCGAGCUCCCCUAGCACACCGACAAUGACUCAUAGUUGCUCGUCUGUGUCGUUAAACACGAUUCUUCGGCCGCGAAUGCAUCCACGCGAAGAGAUGCUCUUAGAAAUUUAAACGAUAGCCAUUCUGCGCGUCUACGCGCUGCUUUUAUCCGCCGCCCCGUUAUUCGAGCAACUGCGCGAACCAAUCGGUCGACGCUCGAAAACAUUCAACGUUGAUUCUGAUAAGAGCGCUAUCUUUGACAUCUGACGAGUUCGCUUUCGUUCGAAUCGUUCUCCAUUUGAAAGAAAACCUAUAUAGCGCGUAUGUUUUCCCUCGUGUAGCGUAGCCAUUGAAGCAACGAAGGUAGCGGCAACGUUUAGACGUUAAAUAAAGAAAUUCCAAGAGAAAAAGGUAAAAGAAGAAAUCAAUGAUAGGCUGUUAAAAAUCAAGUAACGAAAGGUUGCGACGUGAUCUUGUCCCGAGAUAUCGAUACGUCGAAGAUGACAGAUAGAGAAUGAGGAGGACGAAGAGAAAAAAAGAAGCAAUGUCUUUGUCGUGGGAAAAGACAGUGGGAUGACCCCACGUAUACGAGACAUUCUGCCUUGCGACGAGUAUGUGGGUCGAGAAAUGCCGUACGCGCUAAAUAUAUAUCGGGCGCUUACACACGCGCGCAACUUUUGCGUAUCAAGGCGUUCAAGAAGUCAGAAGAAAGAGGGUCAUCAGAGGCAACAAGAAAGGAUCGUUUCUUUCUUUCUUUCGAGCACGCGAAAGAAGAGAAAAAACAAGAUCGUGCUCUAUGUCAGAUAUUUUCCUCUUUCAUGUCGUUCGCGCGAAAGAGAAAGGAGUUGAAGGAGGAGACGACCGAACGCUGGGUAAAGCGACUCUGCCGCGGAGAAAUCGAUUCGUCAAUCUGUCAUGGCCGGGACCUUUGCAUCCGGUGCCGGUAUGCGUGUUAUUUACGUGCCUCGCGAAAAUCUCGUUCGAGUCACUUCCCAGCCACCACGUGCACCGCUUCCACGAACCAAUCGACGAGUUCGAAACAAAACCCUCGUCCGAACGAAAACGUACCGAACGAGAUGUAUUCGUCCUCCAACCAUGGUUACGAGCUUUUAAUAAUAAGAGCAUCGUACGAGCUUCUUUACGGUUUCUCUUUCUCUGCUUUUCUCUUUCGCGUUGCACUUUGUCUAGCACGGUGGUCCUUUUCAAGAUAAAUAGCGCGAUUAUGUAGUGCGUGCGGCGUCAACGUUUAAUUAUACAACCCCCGACAGUUAAUUAGCAAGUUAAUGGAAGAAAAGAGGAGAAAGAGAAGAAAGAGAAGCGCGGAAUAGGACGAGAAGGUCAUAAUCAAGCAGAACGAGCAAAGAAAACAGUAUAGAAGCGAGUAGCGAUCGUUGGCUCCGAACCUAAACGAGGGAGCCAAGGUUGAGCGCGAAACGAUGCCUCGAACGACCGACCGAACGAAACGAAAACUCGCGAAGCUACUUUUAACGUUCGACGGUCCUUUCUCGUUUGUUUACCCGAGAAUUUACCGACAGCUGGUAACUGACCUCAUGCAAAACACGAAUCACGUUGCUCCGCACGGGGAGACCACGCAAAAUUGAUACUGAUGAUGCAAUCUCGAGCAAACAGCGGGCUACAACAGCGAGAACGUGGAAACUCUGUAGGAAAAAAAUUUACGUUCUAUCCGACUGGAAACAUCUGCUUCGAUUUUUACUACUUUUCUUUCUUUUCGUCGCAUCUGCAUUGGAAAUUGAAACGAUAAAUUAAGCGAACGACGAUAGACAGGAACGUUCGUGCCACGGAUCGUUUAGCGAACGCAGGCUCGGUUCUCGGGAAAAUGGACGGCUAUAAGCAGAUUCGAAAAAGAAGAGUCGAAAGAGACGAAAUACAAGUAGCUCUCCUCUGCGAUAGCCUGCAACGAGGGUGAAGGUUUACGGCGGAAUUAUAAACAGCCGAAGGUCGGUAUUACUGGGAAAACAAAUUAUAGUGCUUCCACGCGCGGAAACGCACACUUGCAAAAUCGUUGUCCAAAUAUAAAUUGCUGUUUUUUUAUCGAACCUUCGAUAUCGAAUUCUAUCGAUCGCAAAAGUUUGGCAAAUAUGAACAGAAAUCUCAAGUAGACGGGCGACGAAUAUAUUCUGCAAGAUCUAUUAUUAGCCAAAUACUCCGUCAAAUACUCGAAUAUGAAGUUUAGGAUAAAUAUCGUUUCUGAUUCGAAAAAGAAACCAGAGUUAUUGAGAAAUUGGAUUAAUUGAUAAGGUUUCAUCCAUCCAAUUCGUUUUAUCCACUACGAGGCUUGGAAACUUGCAAGAAAUACUUCAAUAAAAACAUUUAUCGUACAGAAGUCAUCGAAAUCGAAAAUAACGAAACAUUUCCUUCUCUCCUAAUUUCAAUUCGAAACAUUCUCAACAAACAGUGGUGGUAUACUACUCGGAAUAGAAGAAUGCGAUGGUAUCAAAGGUCAAACACGAGUUCCACACGAUCGGACGUAAGCGGACAAGGUAGUAGCGUUAUUUGAAUCACCUGUGUUUCAACAUCUUAAAAUUCAAUCUCGAACUGUGCACAAACCAUUGUAUGUUACGUAACAUCGUUAAUUUUUUUAUAACUUGUAUACUUUAGUGAAAAAAAAAAUACGAAAAUCGGGCAAACGAUUCGAAUAACUUGACGAUUACUCGAGUCAACGAGGAGGUAUUGCACGUAUAAGAAUUACUAACAUCUACAUACGCUAUACACACGUACUUAUGAUAAUUACAAUUGAGAAUAUUGACAUUAACUAAU